UUUAGUUGAAUUGUAGGAAAAAGUGAUAAUAAAUUAAUUUUAUACUGUGAGGGGAGGCUCAGUAUUAAGUUAAUAAAAAUUUCAUUAAUUUUACCUUUUGUAUCAGGAUUUAUUAAAUCUAUAAUUUAAGAAUUGUUUCUCGAAAAAAAAAGAUUUAAAGUUAUUUAUAUAUUAUUGUUUCAUAAAUAAAAAAAAUAUACUUUUAGGUUUGAAAAAAAAUUCGAUUUUUUAUAUCUAGUUGCGUUACUUUUUGAUUUAAUCAAUUUAAUUUAAAGUACUAAUUUAUUUAAAUUACAAAUUUUCAUAGGGAUAAGCUUGUGUUGAAACUUAUAGUUGAUAGGUUAAUUUAUUUUGUAUGCUUAGAAUUAGCUUUUUAUUUAAUAUAUAAAAAUUAAUUAAAUUAAAUUAAAUUUUUUGUACAACUUUAAGGGGAGGUAAAGUUGUUUAAAGAAAUUUAAAAUUUAAAAUAAUUAUGAUAAAAUUAGUAGAAAUUAAAAAUAAUUAUUAAGAAUUCGGCAAAUUUAAUCUUUGACUGUUUAUCAAAAACAUAUCUGAGGGGAAUAUGUUUUUGGUGUAACCUGCUCAAUGCCAAGGUAAAUAGCUGCAGUAUUUUGACUGUACAAAGGUAGCAUAAUCAUUAGUCUUUUGAUUAAAGGCUUGUAUGAAUGGUUAAACAGAGGAUUAACUUUUUUAUUUUUAUGAAUUUUAAAUUUUGUGAUUGUGUAAAAAAACACAUUUAUUUUAAAGGGACGAGAAGACCCUAUAGAAUUUUGUAUUUACUUUGUUUAUUAAAUUACUUGAUUGGGGUGAUUGAGAAUAAACUUUCUUUAAAUUUUCAUUUAUAUAUGAUAGCAUGAUCCUGAUUUUUUAGAUAAAAAGAUAAAAUUACCUUAGGGAUAACAGCAUAAUUUUUCUUUUAAGCUCAUAUUUAUAGAAAAGAUUAUGACCUCGAUGUUGAAUUAAAAAAGUAUUAGGGUGAAGGCAUUUUAGUAGAGAGUCUGUUCGACUUAAAUUUUUACAUGAUUUGAGUUCAGACCGGCGUGAGCCAGGUUGGUUUCUAUCUUUUAAGUUUUUAAUUAGUUUAGUACGAAAGGAUUAAUUAAUUUAAUUUUUAUUAUAACUUUUGAAUAAUAUUAAAUUUAAAUU
rnacentral:rRNA from 1 species